GAUGAACGCUAGCGGCAGGCCUAACACAUGCAAGUCGAGGGGCAGCACAGAAACAGCAAUGUUUUGGUGGCGACCGGCGGACGGGUGCGUAACGCGUAUGCAACCUACCUCUAACAGGGGGAUAACGGAGAGAAAUUUCCACUAAUACCCCAUAACAUCGAUCAAGGCAUCUUGAUUGGUUGAAAACUCCGGUGGUUAAAGAUGGGCAUGCGUUGUAUUAGGUAGUUGGUGAGGUAAUGGCUCACAAAGCCUACGAUACAUAGGGGGACUGAGAGGUUAGCCCCCCACACUGGAACUAAGACACGGACCAGACUCCUACAGGAGGCAGAACUGAGGAAUAUUGGUCAAUGGGGGCAACCCUGAGCCAGACAUGCCGCGUGCAGGAAGACGGCUCUAUGAGUUGUAAACUGCUUUUAAACAGGGAUAAAGCACAGUAUGUAUACUGUGUUGAAGGUACUGUAAGAAUAAGGAUCGGCUAACUCCGUGCCAGCCGCCGCAGUAA
rnacentral:rRNA from 1 species